GCCACCACCACUCAGUGAGCCAACCUACAUAUAUUAUCCAUUAUGUCAGCAUCACAGGUUGGGCUCAAAGUUGGAUUCUAGUUAAGGGACAUACCCAAACAGAUAACUGCUUUUUGUUGUUGCUGCUGCUGUUUUGUUUUGUGUGCUGGAGUUCAAAUCCAAGGCCCGUUAUCAUGCUAGGCAAGCCAGAAAACUAGUUUUACAAAAGUAACAAGGCAUGGUAACAUACUUGUCAUCUCAGCAUCCUAGGGGCUAAGCAAGAGGACUGCAACUAGC
rnacentral:lncRNA from 1 species